rnacentral:misc_RNA from 1 species
UUUCCGAGUCUUUCAGGGUAGCAAUCCUGUAAAAUGGAUAGAGCCCCAAGAUAUGCGCGAACAUCGCUGUUGGAAUAGCCAAAACCUUGUAGAUCCCCAAUUACCACAAACUUUUCUCUUCCUGGUGAAGUCCUUGAACAGAGUUUGUCUAAAGCCAAGACAACGAAUCGUUUGAACUCUUCAAGACCUCCUUGUUUAUUCGGCAUAUGUCUGCCCCCAAAAACGACAGCAAUGGGUCGUCCUAAUUUGUCCACGCCUUGUAAGAACAUUUUGUUGUGUGCUAUCUCAUUUGGUAUCUCAGUAGGUGAAAUGUACCCAUUUGGCACAAGGCUUUUCUUCCAUUUUAGGUAUUUCAACAACAUUGCUGAAGCUUUGUCUACAUCCAGAUCCCUCGCUCGAAGAAACCUUCUUAUCGCAAAAUCAUCAACUUCCUUAGAAGACGGAUCUUGUUUUUCAACUACAGCUCUUACAGCAGAAAUCUUGUUCAUCUCUUGUUCAUUGAUUGUGGCAUCAUCGCAAUGAACUGAUUGGAUCUCUUGUCCUUGUUGCUGCAAUUUUAUUAGCCCAUUAUUAUUGUGUAGUUCCUUUUCUGCUGCCUCAAUUUUUCCCUCCAUUACUUUCUACUAUUACUAGCAGA